rnacentral:rRNA from 1 species
UACGGAGGAUCCAAGCGUUAUCCGGAUUCACUGGGUUUAAAGGGUGCGUAGGUGGAAUGACAAGUCAGUGGAUGAAACCUGCAGCUUAACUGUAGAACUGCCAUUGAUACUGUUAUUCUUGAGUACAUUUGAUGUGAGCGGAAUGUGUCGUGUAGCGGUGAAAUGCUUAGAUAUGACACAGAACACCAAAUUGCGAAGGCAGCUCACAAAACUGUAAACUGACACUGAGGCACGAAAGCGUGGGGGAAUCAAACAGGG